CCUAUGGGUGACAGCAGUGGGGAAUAUUGGACAAUGGGGGGAACCCUGAUCCAGCGACGCCGCGUGAGUGAAGAAGUAUUUCGGUAUGUAAAGCUCUAUCAGCAGGGAAGAAAGGAAUGACGGUACCUGACUAAGAAGCCUCGGCUAACUCCGUGCCAGCAGCCGCGGUAAUACGGGGGAUGCGAGCGUUAUCCGGAUUUAUUGGGUUUAAAGGGUGCGUAGGCGGCGCUUCAGGUCAGCGGUGAAAUACCGGGGCUCAACCCCGGGGCUGCCGUUGAAACCGGAGCGCUAGAAUUCCGAUGCCGUCGGAGGAAUGUGUGGUGUAGCGGUGAAAUGCAUAGAUAUCACGCAGAACUCCGAUUGCGAAGGCAGCGUACCGGCGCCCAACUGACGCUGAAGCACGAAGGCGUGGGUAUCGAACAGGAUUAGAUACCCUGGUAGUC
rnacentral:rRNA from 1 species